rnacentral:rRNA from 1 species
UUGGAGGGCAAGUCUGGUGCCAGCAGCCGCGGUAAUUCCAGCUCCAAUAGCGUAUAUUAAAGUUGUUGCAGUUAAAAAGCUCGUAGUUGAAUUUCGGGAUCAAUACGUCGGUCGUGCUUUCGGGUAUGUACUGGCGUCAUUGGUUUCUCCUUUCUGACGAACCAUGAUGUCAUUAAUUUGGUGUUAUGGGGAGUUAGGACUGUUACUUUGAAAAAAUUAGAGUGUUUAAAGCAGGCAUUAGCUUGAAUACAUUAGCAUGGAAUAAUGAAAUAGGACGUUCGAUCCUAUUUUGUUGGUUUCUAGGAUCAACGUAAUGAUUAAUAGGGAUAGUUGGGGGCAUUAGUAUUCAAUUGUCAGAGGUGAAAUUCUUGGAUUUAUUGAAGACUAACUACUGCGAAAGCAUUUGCCAAGGAUGUUUUCAUUAAUCAAGAACGAAAGUUAGGGGAUCGAAGACGACCAGAUACCGUCGUAGUCUUAACCACAAACUAUGCCGACUAGGGAUCGGAUGAUGUUAAUUUUUUAAUGACUCAUUCGGCGCCUUACGGGAAAC